UGACCGUGCAAAGGUAGCGUAAUCACUUGUCUUUUAAAUAAAGACUGGUAUGAACGGCACCACGAAGGUUCAACUGUCUCCUGCAUCCAAUCCAUUAAACUGACCUCCCCGUGCAGAGGCGGGGAUACAACCAUAAGACGAGAAGACCCUAUGGAGCUUUAAACUAAAGGCAACUGCCAACUUCAACCUAACCCAUAAGGAAAUAACAAUUAAACAAGCAGAAACUGACCUAAAGUUUUCGGUUGGGGCGACCACGGAGAAUAAAAAAUCCUCCUUGAAGAAUAGGGCCUACCACCCUUAACCAAGAACCACCAUUCUAAGUAACAAAAUUUAUGACUAUAAUUGAUCCAGUCCUACUGAUCAACGAACCAAGUUACCCUAGGGAUAACAGCGCAAUCCAUUUCAAAAGUUCCUAUCGACAAAUGGGUUUACGACCUCGAUGUUGGAUCAGGGCAUCCCAGUGGUGCAGCCGCUACUAAAGGUUCGUUUGUUCAACGAUUAAAGCCCUACGUGAUCU
rnacentral:rRNA from 1 species